CAGGGGACAGUUUAGGUAGAAUCUCAGCUUUGGGAGCUGAGGGCAAGAGUUUGACUCUCUUUCCCUUGA
rnacentral:tRNA from 1 species